rnacentral:rRNA from 1 species
GCUUACGGCCACACCGCCUGGUUCACGCCCGAUCUCGUUUGAUCUCGGAAGCUAAGAUAGGUUGGGCCUGGUUAGUACUUGGAUGAGAGACUGCCUGGGAAUACCAGGUGCUGUAAGGU